rfam:Deltaproteobacteria bacterium CSP1-8 XT12_C0002, whole genome shotgun sequence.
GGAGGGGUACCCGAGUGGCCAAAGGGGGCAGACUGUAAAUCUGCUGGCAGCGCCUACGGAGGUUCGAAUCCUCCCCCCUCCA